UACGUAGGGAGCGAGCGUUGUCCGGAUUCAUUGGGCGUAAAGAGCUCGUAGGCGGCUUGGCAAGUCUGGUGUGAAAACUCCAGGCUCAACCUGGAGACGCCACCCGAUACUGCCAUGGCUAGAGUCCGGUAGGGGACCACGGAAUUCCUGGUGUAGCGGUGAAAUGCGCAGAUAUCAGGAGGAACACCGGUGGCGAAGGCGGUGGUCUGGGCCGGAACUGACGCUGAGGAGCGAAAGCGUGGGGAGCGAACAGG
rnacentral:rRNA from 1 species